rnacentral:rRNA from 1 species
ACAGCAGCAGCCACGGUAAUACGUAGGGUGCAAGCGUUAAUCGGAAUUACUGGGCGUAAAGCGUGCGCAGGCGGUUCGUUAAGACAGAUGUGAAAUCCCCGGGCUUAACCUGGGAACUGCAUUUGUGACUGGCGGGCUAGAGUAUGGCAGAGGGGGGUAGAAUUCCACGUGUAGCAGUGAAAUGCGUAGAGAUGUGGAGGAAUACCGAUGGCGAAGGCAGCCCCCUGGGCCAAUACUGACGCUCAUGCACGAAAGCGUGGGGAGUAAACAGGAUUAGAUACCCCCGUAGUCCCUGUCUCUUAUAC